UCCUACGGGGGGCAGCAGUAGGGAAUUUUCGUCAAUGGGCGCAAGCCUGAACGAGCAAUGCCGCGUGAACGAGGAGGGUCUUCGGAUCGUAAAGUUCUGUUUACGUUGAAAAAGCCCGGAGAGAGGAAAUGAACUCCGAUUGAUAUUACCCUUCGAGGAAGUCACGGCUAACUACGUGCCAGCAGCCGCGGUAAUACGUAGGUGGCGAGCGUUAUCCGGGAUGAUUGGGCGUAAAGCGUGCGUAGGCGGC
rnacentral:rRNA from 1 species